AUUGAACGCUGGCGGAAUGCUUUACACAUGCAAGUCGAACGGCAGCACGGACUUCGGUCUGGUGGCGAGUGGCGAACGGGUGAGUAAUGUAUCGGAACGUGCCCAGUCGUGGGGGAUAACGUAGUGAAAAUUACGCUAAUACCGCAUACGAUCUAUGGAUGAAAGCGGGGGACCGUAAGGCCUCGCGCGAUUGGAGCGGCCGAUAUCAGAUUAGGUAGUUGGUGGGGUAAAGGCUCCCCAAGCCGACGAUCUGUACCUGGUCUGAGAGGACGACCAGCCACACUGGAACUGAGACACGGUCCAGACUCCUACGGGAGGCAGCAGUGGGGAAUUUUGGACAAUGGGCGCAAGCCUGAUCCAGCCAUUCCGCGUGCAGGAUGAAGGCCCUCGGGUUGUAAACUGCUUUUGUACGGAACGAAAAGGUCCUGGUUAAUACCUGGGGCUCAUGACGGUACCGUAAGAAUAAGCACCGGCUAACUACGUGCCAGCAGCCGCCGUAA
rnacentral:rRNA from 1 species